UCCUGAGUUCCUGCAGGGGUUUGGCCAUGGAGGGAAGGGAAGGGUUCAUUCGUGUAUGGACUAUUUUUUCAGCUCCAACCCUUGGCCAGGCCCAGGGCUACAUGUUAGGGGAACCAGGCAAGGCAUCCUGUAGGUCCUCACUCGAGUGUUCUUAUCUCCGCCCUGCCCCUCUGCCCAGGUCAGAUGGAGUGCAGGCCCCGGAGGGCCGGGAAUAAGUGAUUCCAGGCUGUGGGGAAACCCAGUACAAACGCCCAGGACCAAGAGUCAGUGAGGUUCAAGGGACAGUAAGUGAUUCGUCCGAGCAAGGUCGCGGGGUGAAGGAAGAGGAGUACUAAGAAGCAGGGCAGGGCCGGGGGCUGAAGAGCCAUCUGCGGAGCUUGGGGCGUAUUCUGUGCACUUUCAACAGGGAAGCGACACACUCCAAUUUUCCUUUUAGAAAAAUCACCCCAACUGCCUUGUGGAGACUAGAUUAUGAUGUCAGGGCAGGAGGGCAGAUGCGAGCCGUCGCUUCAGUCCACAUGGCAGGGACAAGGGGGCCUGCACCGUCCUGGCAAGAAGCAUGUGCGUCUAAGAAGUGACAGCAGUGAUGAAAGACGGCCAAGUAAGACUCGGGUUUUUGGCUCAGACACUAGCUAUACGUCUUGCCUUUCACAGAGUAAGGAACACCAGGGAGGAGCAGCGCGAGGGAUAAGGUGUCUGGGACACGCGGAGUCAAGGGUGCCCACAGGACACCUGGAGGAGAUGUCUAACCGGGAGUAGAACUUAUUGUGUGGCCCCUCAGGAGGAUCUGAGCUGUCGAGAGAUGGACACUGUGGAAGAGAGUGGCAUCGCCCCACAGCGGGAGAAGAGUAGGGGGCUGGGGACCAAGGGGGAAAGCUGCAGGACCCCUCUCACAUUUAGGGGUUGAACCAAAGGAGAGGAAGCCUAAGAGGUGGCUAGAGAGGCAGGAGAAAAGCCAGAAGCGUGAGGAGUCACAAGAACCCAGAAGGAGGGGUCAGCAGUAGCCACACAUGCGCACAGGCUGGGCCAGUACCAAGUGUGUCAGUGGGGACCCCAGGGACAGCACUUCUGGAAGAAACCCCCCGUGGGGUUUGAGGUGACAGUUGUUGGGAAGAAGUGAGUGGGAGUAGAGACAGCUAGUAAAAUGCUCAUUCCCCCUCAAAAGGGGUCUUGGGGGAGAAGAAUGAAAAAGAAGGCCGGCCUGACUGAUGCCGGGCGUGAGGGAGGAGGACGGGCGGGGCGCUGCGAGGUGAGGGAACUGGAGAAGCCCGUGGGUGGGUGCGGCCAAGAGCCAGGAACCACAAGGUGAGCAAGAGGAAGAGCCUCCGGUGCUGAAAGACAGGAAGGAACUUGCCAGGGGCCUGGGUAGGGACAACUGCGGCGAAGGCUGUGAGCUAGCCUCGUGGGCUGCCCUGUGUUCACCCCCCUCUGUGGGGCAGGAGGAGAGGGGCCUUCACCUGGCCGCUCACCCUGGAUCUACCUCAAGACGACACAGAGGACUGAGGAGGAAUGCGUUCGGGAAGCCUCUGCACCUGCACGGGGCUUUCCUCAAGCUUGAGGGAGAGCGCUGUCACGCCGUCUGCCUCCCGCAGGAGACUGAGCGUUGGAGUCCGGCCUCCUCCACCUCUGCCCCAGCUGCAGGCUGUGGCCUGUGUGUCCCUUACCGCGCCAGCCAGUGUCUACCUGAGUCCCUGGGGCCCGAGGCGGACCCCUGGCUUCGGUGACUUCUGGGGGCAGUGGGAGGGCCAACCCUCCUAGGCUCAAGUCCCAGCAACACAAGGUGCUACCGGAAUGCAACACUGGGAACCAGACACCGUAACUUGACGUUGAAUAAAGCGGACGUAGGCAGGCUCCACGCUUCCCCGAGGCCGGAGGGCUAGAUGGCUGUUCCCUAAGGUCAAGACCUGAGUCCCCUCCCUUCUCUCGCUUUACCAAUGCCUGGUCUCAUGGGGCCAGUUUUGAGCCCAGCACUAUGGCAUCGUCAACCUCCUUCCCAGCUCCUCGCUCCCGGUCCAGGAAGCCUGUGGGCAAGGUGGCUGACUGGUUCAGGCAGGUCCUGUCGAAGACCUCCAAGAAGCUGUCCGACUCUACAGAAAGUACCUCCAGUGAUGUUUCACAGCCCAGGUCCAAGGACAACCCCCCACCCCUGGGCCUCAGCUCAGCUGUGUCUCCCAACUCCCCAUCAACAUACGUGGGUGCCAGCAGCAGCAGUGGCAGUAGUGGCCGCUGGAGCAAGGACUAUGAUGUGUGUGUGUGCCACAGUGAGGAGGACCUGGUGGCCGCCCAGGAGCUGGUCUCCUACCUGGAGGGCAGCGCGGCCAGCCUGCGCUGCUUCCUACAGCUUCGGGAUUCGACCCCAGGCGGCGCCAUCGUGUCAGAGCUGUGCCACGCACUGAGCAGCAGUCACUGCCGCGUACUGCUCAUCACCCCGGGCUUCCUGCAGGACCCAUGGUGCAAGUACCAGAUGCUACAGGCCCUGAGUGAGGCCCCUGGGGCAGAGGGCCGCACCAUCCCCCUGAUGUCAGGCCUCACCAGAGCUGCCUACCCUGCUGAGCUCCGGUUCAUGUACUUCGUGGACGGCCGGGGACCCGAUGGUGGCUUUCACCAAGUCAAGGAAGCUGUCAUGCGCUACCUGCAGACCAUCAGCUGACAUUUCUUACAUCACCACGGAACCCAGAAAGUUGGAGUGAAGCUGGAAAUCGAGUUAGAGAGCUCAGGGCCCCACAGGGUCUUGGAUUCCAGCAGAUGUGACGAGGUAAUUGGCUGCUAUAAAGAUACAUCCCCCCCUGAAGAGGUGACUCACCUGGUUCUUUCAUGACUUAGAAGCCUACACUGCAUGCUUCAGCAGGGAUGGUUUCACCAGUUGCUUGGCAUUAGGAUAAUGUAACAGGUACCAAGUCCUUCACACACUACUGCCCUUCUCUUUCCUGGUGACAUUGUUCACUUCACAAGGCUACAUGAAAGAUGCACUCAGCACCGUACUGUAUUUAUUUCUAUUCCGUGUGUAUCACAGACCUAGAAAGCAUCCUGAAUUAGGAUGUGGGCAGGGAGCAGGUGGGGUGAAGAAAAGGAAAAGCUCAGCCCCUAGCCCUGGGUUAGGAGCCGACCCACCGAUGCUUUGACUCACGGGGGCCCCAUCAAAUGUCUGACUAGAAGUCAGGCUUCUACAAGCUUCUUUACCUCUGUACUAAGAGAGCUCAGCAGCUUUCUUCUGGCCAAUGAUUGUGUACCUUGUAGGACAAAGUUUCAUUCGUCUGCUCUCAAUAAGUCUGUUGUUGAACCAAGAUGAACUUUUUCCCCAAUCUGUAGUUGUAUGCCUCUUCUCUCACUUCCCCCUGCCAUGUUCCCUCCUUUCACAGAGAGAUCUAUUUGAGAUAUAAUUAACAUAUUAACAUUAGUUUCAGGUGUAAAACAUGAGUCGACAUUUGUAUAUAUUAUGAAAAAAAAUGUUUCAAUUAUGGAUUAUUUCAUUACAUACAAAAAAAUUAUAAUGUUCACUCAUGUAUCUUCCACGCAGCUUAAGAAGCAAGCAAAACCUUGCAAUCCUGAUGGUGCUGCCUUUGUGUGCCUUUAAUCCCCUUCUCUCCCUUCUCUCCUGAGAUUUAAUCAGCAUUCUGAAUUUUUAAUUUUAUCACUGAUAGCUUUUCAUUUAUACAUCCCUGACAACAUGUUUAUCUUUACAUGGUUUUGUGCUGUAUGUAAAUGGCAUUAUAAUUGUAUUCUACAAAUUUGUUUCAUUUACGACAUAACAAGAUUUAUCGAUGUGGACAUAUAUAACGCCAGGAAAUUCACUUUUGUUCCGGUAUGUAAACAGACCACUAUUUAGCCACAUUCUUUUUUUUUUUUUUUUUUUUAAGAUUAUUUAUGAGAGAGAGAGAGAGAGAGAGAAGCGGGCUCCAUGCAGGGAGCCCGACCUGGGACUGGAUCCCGGGACUCCAGGAUCACGCCCCCCGGCCAAAGGCAGGCACUAAAUUACUGACGACCCAGGCGUCCCCUUAGCCACAUUCUUUUGCAAAUGGACAUUUAGUUGUUUCCCAUUUGUUGCUAUCAAAGUGAAUGAGCUUAUGAAUAAUUUCUACAUGUUUCCAUGAAUAUUUUUGUACAUGUUUCCAUGAGCGAGAUUUUCUAGGAUUUAGCCUAGAUGAGGAACAGCUGGGUAGUAAAUACACAUCUUCAGUUUGGGUAGAAAAUACCAACUUUGCUUCCAAACUGGUUUUGUCAAUUUAUAUUCCUACCAUUUGUGUAUAGGAUUUCCCACUUUUUCAUGUUCUAACACUUAAUCAUCAGAUUGUAAAAUGUUUGCUGAUCUGGUGGGUGAAAAUUGUAUCUAUUGCCAUAUUCUUUUUCUCUUUUUAGCCUUUUUUUAUGAAAAAUUCUAUGUAUAUCAUAUACCAAAGGGGAAGAGAAAAAUCUGAUGAAUUCCUCGUAUACCCAUCACCCAGCUUCAAUAGUUACCAACUCAGCUAAGCUUCUAUCAGCAAUAACUCCAGUUCCCUCCCCACCAGAUCCCUUUGAAGCAAAUCCCAGGCAUUAUUCCUGCAUAUUCAAGCUAUGUAUGGGGGAUCCCUGGGUGGUUCAGCAGUUUAGUGCCUGCCUUCGGCCCAGGGCGUGAUCCUAGAGUCCCCGCAUCGGGCUCCCUGCAUGGAGCCUGCUUCUCCCUCUGCCUGUGUCUCUGCCUCUC